AGGAUAGUAGUUAAUUUUUAACAUUUAAUUUGCAAUUAAAAAAUAUUGGAAACUCAAUCUGUCUUA
rnacentral:tRNA from 1 species